UCCACCGUGAGGUGGAAUCUGAAGGAAGUCGGCGGCAAAACCCCGGUCUGACGUACAGAAACCGCAUAGAAGGCAUCCACAGUUGGACAAGACUGCAACACAAGUCGAAGUCCCUUACUAUCGGAAAACUGUGGGUGUAAAUGCGGCAGAUAUAUGGGAUGAAAGUAUAUGAA
rnacentral:ncRNA from 1 species